rnacentral:rRNA from 1 species
UAGGGAAUAUUGCUCAAUGGGCGAAAGCCUGAAGCAGCAACGCCGCGUGUGCGAUGAAGGUCUUCGGAUCGUAAAGCACUUUUCUGAGAGAUGAGAAAGGACAGUAUCUCAGGAAUAAGUCUCGGCUAACUACGUGCCAGUAGCCGCGGUAACACGUAGGAGGCGAGCGUUAUCCGGAUUCACUGGGCGUAAAGCGCGUGCAGGCGGUUUGGUAAGUUGGGCGUGAAAGCUCCCGGCUCAACUGGGAGAGGUCGUCCAAUACUACCAGACUUGAGAGCAGAAGAGGAAGAUGGAAUUCCCGGUGUAGUGGUGAAAUGCGUAGAUAUCGGGAGGAACACCAGUGGCGAAGGCGAUCUUCUGGUCUGUUUCUGACGCUCAGACGCGACAGCUAGGGUAGUAAACGGGAUUAGAGACCCCGGUAAUCCUAGCCGUAAACGAUGUGAACUUGGCGUUGGUGGCUUAAACACCAUCAGUGCCGAAGCAAACGCGAUAAGUUCACCGCCUGGGGACUACGGCCGCAAGGUUA